rnacentral:lncRNA from 1 species
AAAUAAAAUAAUAAACUAGCGUGAGACCAAAUUUAAACUACAAUUGACACUUUAUAUAUAACCACAAAAAUUGAAAGCCUACAGAAAUGAGGCAAUAAUAACUUAUUACAAGGAAUUCGAGAAAAGAAAGGGAAAAAAUUUGAUUACAUAACAUGGAGAGAAUCACCAUGAAAAAGGACCGACUCCUAACAAGAAAAUCUCAUUAAUUUGAUUACAUAACAUGGAGAGAAUCACCAUGAAAAAGGACUGACUCCUAACAAGAAAAUCUCAUUCUCUAUGUUCUUGAUCCAUUGACAUACUCGAUUGCAAGUCUUAAUAGCUAGAGCCUGCAAGGUGAAAUGUUGGUAUGUAAAAUAUCUUGAGAUCACAGGUAAAUAGUGCAAUUCUCACAUUCCCAAAAUAUUGGUGGAGAAGAGUCAUAUAUCACUAUUGGUGAAUAAUACCCGAGAUAUCCAGCACACUGCUGAAGUUUAAGCUAACAAAAUCACAUAUUUUCAGCAUGUCAGACUACCAAAAAUGUACUUGUUUUAAUACGACCAAUGUCGGACAUGAAAUGACAUCGCAAAAAAUAGUUGUUUGACAAUGAUGCACAACUAAUAAGUCAAACAUAUAUCUAGGGAUGGCAGGAUAAGAUCGUCUUGGAAGAUGACAAUCUUAACGUACAGCUUAGGGUAGGUUCUUGCACUGACCAUAUAUAAAUGAGUUUUGAUUUCAAUCACUAGGGCUAAAGACCUGACGAUAAACAAAUUCAUGUAUCAUUAAAAGUGGUAACCAGCUCACUACAGUACAGAACAAAGGCAAACUAAGGUCUAUCAAAUCACAUUGGUCUGCUUUGGAUUGCCAAAGUUUCAAAACCUAAACUGUCCCAUGAAUAGUUCAAAGACUUCUCGACCAAAGACAAAAUGGGAGUCACAUCUAACAGAAAUAACACCAUAAAAAUUAUAGGUGGAAAGGCUCUCUAAAAUAAAAGUGACACUUAAGAUAUCACUUAAACAAACAAUAGACUGAAAAGAACAGAUAAAUAAUAAAACCUUG